rnacentral:lncRNA from 1 species
CUUCCUUCCGAUCCUUCACUCUUUCACGUCUCCUACAAUCUCUCUCUCUCUCUCUCUCUCAUUUUCAUUUCCUCCCUCAUUUGAUUCUUUCUCCAUUUCCCUUCCCCACUGUCUGUUUCUCUCCUUUCUCUUUCCUGCCUACCCCCUGCACAGUCACAGUUGUCAGUGGCACACACACAUUCGACCCCUUUUCAGGCUGCGCUGCUAGAAUGGAGUGAAUCUGAGACCUCACAGGAGUUGCUAUGUCUCACAGGAUGACUUCUGUAGGUACAGCUUCAAAGAUGCUAUUUUCUUUUAAUCAAAGUCAAUUAAUAAGGAUUUCUUCUGCUUAUAGUCUUGCAUUUUAUCACUCUUCUAUUGCAGUUUUCAUUCCGGGAAAAUGGAAAAGCAAAACAAAAACAAAACAGAACAGUAACUCAGGGCUCAUAAGGAUGGAUCUUCAGUGUUAUUGAAAUAACAGCCGGCUAACAGGAAUUGUUCAGCUCACUAGACAGUUGCAGGUUUAACAUAGGGGGGUAAUUGAAUUAGAUCAUUGUCAUAUUUGGACAAGGCUCAUGCUUGUUUACGUUAAGUUAUUAGAAACAACUUAAAUCACAAGGACUAUCAAGCAUGAAAGAGAUAAUUGAUAAAUAUUUUUACUGACAAUUAUACUAGCAUAAAAGAUUGUAGAAGAAUAUUUUUAAAUGUCCAAACUAUUAUUACCUGUUUGAAUUCUUAUAAAGCUUUGCGGUCUUUGUUUUUCUCUAAAGAACUUCUAAACUACAGAGGGUCAAGAAUGUUUUCAAUAAUUCCUAAUUGUCAUAAUAAGAUCCUGUCUUUUAAUCAACAUGAUGAUGUUUAACAUGUUUAUUGUCUAUUUUCUAAAGCUUGAAUCAUUAUCAGAUGCAGACAAGUGUUUGGUGUGCAUAGACUAGACUUGUCUUUCUAUCUAGAUUUUAAGCUCCACUAGGAAAAGAACUAUAUUUAGUCCAUUUCUUGUGAUUCUAUAAUAUGUGCACUGAGUAGGCACUCAAUAUAUACUUGCUGGUUUCUGUAGAGGCUUCAAAUUGUUAUAGCCAAGAGCACAGUCUCUGAAGCCAGAAUGCCUGUGUUCAAAUCUGGGCUUAGCCACUUACCAGCUAUAUGACCUUAGGCAAAUUCCUUCACCUCUCUGUGCCUCAAUUUCUUUAUCACUGAAUAGUUAAUUAAAACCCUACUUUGUUAACUCAUUAAGUGAGCUAAUAUUUAUAUAGUGCUUAAAACUGUGUCUGACAAGUGAUAAGUACCACACAGGUAUAUGAUAUGAAGAGUAUGUUAUUAUUUUGAAUCUGUGCUGCUGUCAGUCUACUGUUUACAAACACUCGCCCAAGAAGAGAAGAUUAUCUUUUCAUGUGUUUAUUGGCCAUCUGUAUAUCUUCUUUGCCAAAGUAUCUGUUCAAGUCUUUUGCUUAUUUUUAUACCAAGGUGUUUAUUUCCUUAUUGCACUUUGAGAAUUCUUUAUAUAUUUCGGAUGUAAGUCUUUUAUCAUAUAAAUAUUCUGCAAAUAUUUUCCUCUAGUGUGUGGUUUUUCUUAACAGUAGCUUUCAAAGAUCAGCAGUUUUAAAUUUUGAUGGGGUCCAAUUUGUAAUCUCUUUCUUUUACAGAUCAUCCAUCAGGUUGUAAAUGAAACUUUGCCCAAUUAUUCCAUUCCCACUUUUCUAUCUUUUUUACUCUUUGAUUGUGAAUUCAGUCAAUGUCAUAGGUCCACUUAUCAUCUUUCUAUAGGUAACUGCCAAGUUUGUAAUUCUGGACCCAGUUUUUUCUUUGAGCUGCAGAAAUGAUUCUAACUGCUUCUGGGUUGUCUCCAUCCAAACCCUGAUUAUAUCUCAACCUCAGUAGGUCUAGAAGUAUAUCAUCCUCAUCCUCACAAAACAAAGUCAACAGUGUUCUCUACCUUUGCAGGGAGCAUUACCACCCUCCAGGUCCUACUUUUAGAUUUACCUCUUCCAGUAUUUGACCUCCAUAACUGAAGCAGCUCUUUAACUUUUUCUGCCUGAAUACAAGUUCUCUGCUCUUUGUUCCUUUUCACAGUGCUCAAUUCAUCCUAUACACUGACAUCAGAGAAAUCCACCUAAAGUGUCAACUUGACAAACCCUGUUGUAAACAUAUUCAUAUAUCAAAUGCCUAAAAAUGCAACCCAGUAACUCAAGAUGGCACAUAGAGACACAGCAUUUAUUCCAGUCUCCUGUUCCAAUGUAGCCCUCAACCUCCCUACAAUAGAGUCAGUCAGAAGCAGCUACCUGCCUUUCUUCCAACAAAACUAUCAUUUCCAUGAUUGGGUUUAAUAAAGAACUGAGACUAUAAUUAUCCUGUAAUUCUUUAAUUAAAACUUUAUUCCUCAUAUAUAAACAGUAGCACUUAGCUUCAAGGUCUGGGUUUUUUUGUUUGUUUGUUUCUAGUUGUGUUGCUGAAAUUCUUGUGACCUUGAGCAAAUCAUGUGCCUCUCUAGCUAUUCCACCAUCUGUUACUCUGUUUUCCAUGUCAGCCAUACUGAUUUGGUGAGAAAGCACAGAAAUUGUCAUGUCAGCUGUGUCCAUCAUUCUGUUCUUUAUUUACCAUAUUAUGUUAAUGUUGAUUAAGAGAAAAGAAUACAUGGAAAUGUCCCUUCAUGAUAAAUGAGUGCCUUUCCAAAUAUUAAUAGACACUGUGAGAUGCGAAAAGGACAUAUAGGUAGUGAAUUGGCUUUGUUAAUUUAUCUGUCCAUAUUUCUCCUAUAAAAAGUAGUAGGGUUUUUUUUUUUUUUCAUAUUUACAUGGAAAAAAAACCCCAUGAAGUGCAGGGAAACUUUCCUAGAUAUAAAGCCAUCUUUAUCUAUCUUUUCUUUGAAAUUCAAAGGUACUCCACCCUAGAUCCUUCUGCUGAAGUACUAAGGGUCAGAAAACCUUUUGAUUGAUAAUGGCAGAAUUUUGAAGCAUUCUGAUGCUACUGUUUUCAGUUUUAUUCAGUGACUUUUGUGAGUAUGCAUUUCUCCUCCCUUGCUUUGAUCAGUAUACCCAAAAGUGUGUGUUUUUGUGUGUUUGUGUGUGUCGGCCAGGGGGUCAUAUAUCUCCUAGUUGUAUAAAUGAUGAUUGAAUAGAGUCCUUAAGUAACCAAAAUCAUUUCCUAACAGAUAGCUUUGCAAUUGGAAAAAUUAUUAAAUGAUCAGAGUUUGCAUUCAGUUCCUCUACCCUUCCCUGGCAGUUGCCAUUCUUUUUGGAUGGCACAUCAUUUCCUUUGAGUGCUAGUCUCCAUUAAAUUAAGAUGCAGAUGUUCAGUGUUCUUUCAGAACCACUCAACUCCCUAAGCAGGCCCAAGUCAGCUCUACCUUGCCCCUGUGUGCUACUGCUGCUCACCAUUCCAGUCUUUCUCAGAGGACAAAAGGGGAAGCUAAUUUAACAAGCAAUUCCCUCAAGAGCAAUAUAUUUGCUUUAUUUAUAUUGAUACAGUUCUAAACUCCCUUAAAAACUGCUAAGGCAUCUAGUCACUCUGAUAGGAAUACAGGGGAGAAGUUUGGAGGUUUGAGAAUUCUUUUCUCACCUUUCUGGUUACUGGUAGGUAAUUUCUCAUGCCAUUCUCUGCAAAGCCACUUUUCCUUUCAUUCUAAUUUAUUGUAUUCUUUACAAUGACUUAUUUACAUUGUAGUCCACCUUAAUGUUAAGACCUCAUCUGUAUUCAACUUUGACUCUCUAGGAUGUUUCAGUGUCAACAAAAACAUUUUCAAUAAAAUGAGUUUUAAAGACCUAAUUAGCUUUUAUUUGUAAUUCAUGAACCAGGCAUCAUCCAGUCCACAAAAUAGACAAAAGCUCCAGUGGGCAUGGCAGGCUAGUCACUUUCUGUAAAGCAGGUUGACCAAAAACAAGAAAACAGAGUGGAGCAAAAGCAGAUUGAAUAAUAUCAAGUUCUUCAGGUUACUUUUACCAGAUAAAGCAGAGGGGAAUUUAUCAUGCUGGAUCAGGUUAAUUGAAACCCUUUUGAUUGGUUGAUGUGAAUCUCCUGCUUUUUGUUUGUUUGUUUGUUUGUUUUGUUUUUAAAUUGGCUUCUUGAAGAUUUGGCUAUCAACUCUCUCCUGGUUUCUUGGAAGGUCAGAUCUUACAAAGCUGUUUAGCUUAGGUUUUGGUAGGGUAACAUGAAAGUUUAGCAUGAGUGACUCCAUUUUGGGUUGGUCUGCUGGGGCCAAGUGUAAGGCCUCAGUCCAGAUCAGUGGGUUCUCAUAUAUUUUAUUUAAUAGCACAGUGCCUGGCAUAUGCUAGAUGACUAACACAUAUUUGUUAAAUGAAGGAAUUUAUUGUACCAACUGAGUGACCACAUAUUGCUGCUGUUAAUUAAAUUAACCUCUCAAAGUAUAUAAUUUACUAUUAACACCCUAAUAAAAAGACAACUCAACUUAGUUGAUAAUCUCUGAAUAAAUGAAUGUUUUGCAUGCACGUUCUCACCAUAAAGUAUAAGACUAUUGUACAAACUGGAAAUAUCAAAGCCAAAGCAUGAAGAAGAAAGAGCUAAUUUUGUAAAUAAAGAGCAGAGCACAGACUUUUUUGCCACACACUGACCUACUCACAUUCAGUGAAACUCAAAGUCAGUGUGAAUAUUUCUUUUUGUGAUACUUUCAUCCUGAAGGCUUACCUCAGAAAAAAUGAUCUUACAUGUAAUCUAAGUGACUUGCACGUUAUUUAUUCAACAUGUAUUCAUUUAUUAAACAUAGAUUAAUUUGCUCACUGUCAAAUUCAUUCAUUUCACAACUGUGUACAGCCUUUCAGAAAAACAAAGGAAAACACAAUAUAGUUCAUGGGUUCAAAAUUAUUAUAGCCUAGUGUGGAAAAAAGGCAGCUGUCCACUAGGCCUUGGAAUAAGCCAGCAUGUGGCAAGUCAUUGAACAGAUAAAUGGGCAGAGUAUGGCAGGUUUGUGGGAGAAGGGGAGACUGACUCCAAGUAGGAAGACAAAGUGAGGUGUCAAUAAAGAGGACUGACUCGGGCUAGGACUUAAAGUAAAUCUCCAAAGAAGGAGAUUUCAAAAGCAAGGGUGUUCAAAGUUUAGAAAAUAAAACGUAUUUGGUAAAUUAUAAGUUGAAAACAUAACUGAUGCGAAAGAACAUAGGAACAUAUUCCAAAGCUGGAUUAUAGAUGAAUCACAGAGUUAAAUUAUAGCAUAUAGAGCUUGCAUUUUGUUGUUUGUUUGUUUGUGUUUACCUUUUUCUUUAAGCAAAGCAAAAUACCAACUUUGAAGCAGAACAGCGAAUAACACAGGUUUCUGAUUAGAGAAAAAUGAAGGUCCGGCUUGAGUUUACUUUUUAUCCAUUAAGCCUUUUUGACUUUCUCAAAUAGCAGUGAGUUGGAACUCAGCUAAAUUUCUAUAAUAUUUAUUAUUGUUUAGUCAUUAGUUUGACACUUAGCAUUCUGUAAUUUACUAAAUUACAACCUAUUUGAGAGGAGCCCCUGUUCCAUUUUACUGUAUAUUUUUUACAGUCUUGGGCCCA